CCUGAUGAAGACCUAGAUGGUUGCAAUGUGUUGGUCUUUUUUUUAACCAUGUUUACCAUUUUUGCCAUGUAAAGAAAUAGACUUUUAAUCACUUUGAAGCCACUCUGGAGAGCUCCUCAAUCAUUUUUUGGUGUUUAUUUGCUCUUACAAGUAAAGCAAAUAUUUUUUUUCCCACUUUAAGCAAAAAGUCCUACAUUAAGUAUAAAGCAAGUCUACAUACCUGAAGGAUCAAAGGAGCACCUUGAGAUUUCACUGACCCAGAAGUGUUUCCAAAAUCAUUGCUUUCCAAAUCUUACAAUUAGUCUUAAGCUCUUAAAUGCAUACAAAGCAGAUUAAACAUGUCCAUUAACAUUUCUUUAAGUCAUCUGGGUUAACAAACUGCUCAGAGGUACUUCAACACUGGUCAUCAACCCAACUGAUCUUCAUCUUCAUAAAAGGACCUGUGUUGCUGCCAUCUUGUCAGGAUUGUUAUUGGUCAUCUGUCAGCUCUGGAUACCUGGCCAUGCUAAACAGAGUCC